rnacentral:rRNA from 1 species
AUUGAACGCUGGCGGCGUGCCUAAUACAUGCAAGUCGAGCGAACGGACGAGAAGCUUGCUUCUCUGAUGUCAGCGGCGGACGGGUGAGUAACACGUGGAUAACCUACCUAUAAGACUGGGGAUAACUUCGGGAAACCGGAGCUAAUACCGGAUAAUAUUUUUGAACCGCAUGGUUCAAAAGUGAAAGACGGUCUUGCUGUCACUUAUAGAUGGAUCCGCGCUGCAUUAGCUAGUUGGUAAGGUAACGGCCUACCAAGGCAACGAUGCAUAGCCGACCUGAGAGGUGAUCGGCCACACUGGAACUGAGACACGGUCCAGACUCCUACGGGAGGCAGCAGUAGGGAUAUUGGACAAUGGGCGAAAGCCUGAUCCAGCCAUGCCGCGUGUGUGAAGAAGGUCUUCGGAUUGUAAAGCACUUUAAGUUGGGAGGAAGGGCAGUAAGUUAAUACCUU